rnacentral:rRNA from 1 species
CUUUUCUUGUUUAAUAUUUGAAAUAUGGCCUGCCCCCUGAUAAUAUAUUUAAUGGCCGCGGUAUUUUGACCGUGCAAAGGUAGCAUAAUCAUUAGUCUUUUAAUUAGGGGCUGGAAUGAAUGGUUGGACGAAACAAAAACUGUCUUGUUAAUAUUAAUUUAUAUUGGAAUUUAAUUAUUAUGUUAAAAGGCAUAAAUUUUUUUAUGGGACGAUAAGACCCUAUAGAAUUUAAUAAUAUUUAAUUUAUUUUAUGUUUGGUAUUGUUAUUUAAUUUAUUUAUUAUUUUAUUGGGGUGAUAUAUAGAUAUAAAAAACUCUUUAUUUUUUUUUAUACUUAUUUGUAUAUGUGUUGAUCCAUUAAUUUUUGAUUAUAAGAUUAAAUUACCUUAGGGAUAACAGCGUAAUUUUUUUUUAGAGUUCAUAUUGACAAUAAAGAUUGCGACCUCGAUGUUGGAUUAAGAUUUAAUUUAGGUGUAGAAGCUUAAAAUAUUUAAGUCUGUUCGACUUUUAAAAUCUUACA